rnacentral:rRNA from 1 species
GAUGAACGCUGGCGGCGUGCUUAAUACAUGCAAGUCGAGCGAACGGACGCGACUCUUGCUUCUCUCAUGUUAGCGGCGGACGGGUGAGUCACACGUGGAUAACCUACCUAUAAGACUGGGAUCACUUCGAGUAACCGGAGCUAAUACCGGAUAAUAUUUUGAACCGCAUGGUUCAAAAGUGAAAGACGUUCUUGCUGUCACUUAUAGAUGGAUCCGCGCUGCAUUAGCUAGUUGGUAAGGUAACGGCUUACCAAGGCAACGAUGCAUAGCCGACCUGAGAGGGUGAUCGGCCACUCUGGAACUGAGACGCGGUCCAGACUCCUACGGGAGGCAGCAGUAGGGAAGCGUCCGCAAUGGGCGAAAUCCUGACGGAGCAGCGCAGCGUGAGUGAUGAAGGGCUUCGGAUCGUAAAACUCUGUUAUUAGGGAAGAACACAUGUGUAAGUAACUGUGCUUAUCUUGACGGUACCUAGUCAAAAAGCCACGGCUAACUACGUG